GCUGAUGCGUUGUUGGGUAGGGGAGCGUUCUGUAAGCCUGUGAAGGUGGCCUGUGAGGGUUGCUGGAGGUAUCAGAAGUGCGAAUGCUGACAUAAGUAACGAUAAAGCGGGUGAAAAGCCCGCUCGCCGGAAGACCAAGGGUUCCUGUCCAACGUUAAUCGGGGCAGGGUGAGUCGACCCCUAAGGCGAGGCCGAAAGGCGUAGUCGAUGGGAAACGGGUUAAUAUUCCCGUACUUGGUGUUACUGCGAAGGGGGGACGGAGAAGGCUAUGUUGGCCGGGCGACGGUUGUCCCGGUUUAAGCGUGUAGGCGGGUGUUCCAGGUAAAUCCGGAACGCUGUUAAC
rnacentral:rRNA from 1 species